UACGUAGGUGGCAAGCGUUAUCCGGAAUUAUUGGGCGUAAAGCGCGCGCAGGCGGUUUCUUAAGUCUGAUGUGAAAGCCCACGGCUCAACCGUGGAGGGUCAUUGGAAACUGGGGAACUUGAGUGCAGAAGAGAAAAGCGGAAUUCCACGUGUAGCGGUGAAAUGCGCAGAUAUCAGGAAGAACACCCGUGGCUAAGGCGGCUCUCUAGUACGGUACUGACGCUGAGACGCGAAAGCGUGGGGAGCGAACAGG
rnacentral:rRNA from 1 species